CUAGCAUUUAAUUUCCCCAACAGACCAUCGAUUAAUUUUUUGAGAAAGAAUUCAAGAGUUGCGUGAAGUCCAGUGGUAUCCACUAUUGCUUGAAAAUCUUCCAUAGUGAUCUGAAAACUACGUCGGUCCUGACAACCACUAAAACAGCUUUUUAAAAACUCGCUUAUAACGGUUAGCCGCUCUUCGUCCUUUUCAUCUCCUUCAUAACAGCAAAGCAGAAUUAACGAUUCUGAAAGUUCGACAACUUCUUCCGUCCUAAGUGUGCCAUCUCUUUUCAAAUCGUACAACUGAAAACACAAGAUUUCAGAAUGCAGUGCUAUAUCUGCUUUCAACCGUUCCAAACCAUGAAUGAUUCUUUUGAAAGUUAAAGAUGUUUCAGUAGAAUCACCGUCUUUCAUCCAAAUAUAUAAUCUGGUAAAAAGUUUCCGCUUACUACGUUGAUAAUGCAAAGGUUCACGAAUCACACUUAAAGGUGGGGCUGCACAAUCGACAAGCCUUUCAAAUCCAUUGAAAUCAAUCUUUUGUUCUAAGACGUCGCCGUGACAAAUAUUAUUUUCCCCAAUGGCAUUAAUGAACGCAUCAUAUACCAAAUCUAAAUCAGUGUUCGAUAAUAAGGUAGUUUGGUAUACGCUUCGUAAGUGUGAUCGCUUGGUAAAACAUCGUAAAGAAUAGAGCACACUACUCUUGAAUUCUUUUCUUUUGGCAGACACAAAACUAUCGGUAAUAAAAUCAAAGUACUCAAAAGCGACAGCAAAUAACUGUGGAAGGGUACACAUAGAAGAUCUACUACCUAAAGCAGCCAUCUUUUCAUCGGCAGCUGUUCCUUGGUUGAUAUGAUCAAAACAUUGACGAAACACUUUCAUAACAGAAGAAUCGUCUGUCGCAUUUAAAAUCCCUUGGGCAUUUACUUUGAACAGAGCUAAAGCCACUUGAAAAAGAACACGUGGACCGUUAACGAAUAGACAGUCUAAUAUCCUGAAAGCAUAAUCUAACCUAAAGUCUUUUAUGAACAACGAAAAGAACCAGUUGAUUGUAAUAAGCUUCAAAUCCAUAUCUAGCUCAAUAAUUUUCUGAUAUAAGUGAGGAAGCGUAUGUUCUAAAACAUACUCAAAUACCGUUAAAUCCAGUAAUAGCCCAUGUAUUAUCUUAGCGUAAUACCCAGGAAUAUAAAACUCACAUAGUUGAGAAAAAAGAAAGUAUGCUUGCUCUUCUGUGCAAUAAACCAGCAAAGCAGCAAGCACAAUGUUCAUAGCCUGACAAUAACCAACCUCUUUAUUGGUCUCAGAAUAAAACAGAAGGAUUCUUCUCAAUGUAUUAAUGCCCGUAGGUGAUUGAUAAGCAGGAUA